GUCAGAGAGGUUCAGUGUGGGUAUUGAAUUACAAUGUUGUUACUAUUUUUGAAAGGAAAAUGCUGGCUGAAAACACGAAACUUUUUUUUUUCCUCCCCCUUUUGCACAGGAUUAUUCCAGCAACUCCUGAAAUGCAAAACCUUCUGUGGCAAGAGAGAAAAGGCAGUCUUGUGACUACAGCUCUGACCUAAAGGACACGCUCUCUCCAAGUAUGAUUUCAUUCAGGUAGUGAGACCAAGAGCUUCAUUAAAAAACAGAAAGAUUGGCCCUAGGCAGACAGUACAGCUUGUCCUCCGAUGCUCAUGUUUGGACAUUGCUUUAGCAAUGACUCAGAGUUCCAGCUAUUGUUUCAUUAACACCAGUUCCUGCCGGGCUGGGGGUUUCCCCUCUCUUCUCUUUCCCAAAUUAUCAGCCAGACCCAUCCCUCUUCAGUUCAUAAAAUCCAACAGGAGGCCCCAUAUUGGGCUGGGAUGGUUACAAUAUGAUAAUUAUGCAAUUCCAGUGUUGCAGCUACACUGCAGGAGAAAUUAUGGCUAUUCAUCAUCAUCUGGACCCAAAGGAGGCAUCAGUGAGAGGAACAGUCAUUGCAAUACAGUGCAGAUGA